AUGCUCACUUCGGCAGCACAUAUCCUCAGAUUGGAACAAGACAGCGAAGAUUAGCAUGGCACCUGCACAAGGAUGACACACAAAUUUGUGAAGCGUUCCAUAUUAAA
ensembl:snRNA U6 U6 spliceosomal RNA